rnacentral:rRNA from 1 species
UUCAUAACCCUUUGUUGUCCGACUCUGUUGCCUCCGGGGCGACCCUGCCUUCGGGCGGGGGCUCCGGGUGGACACUUCAAACUCUUGCGUAACUUUGCAGUCUGAGUAAACUUAAUUAAUAAAUUAAAACUUUUAACAACGGAUCUCUUGGUUCUGGCAUCGAUGAAGAACGCAGCGAAAUGCGAUAAGUAAUGUGAAUUGCAGAAUUCAGUGAAUCAUCGAAUCUUUGAACGCACAUUGCGCCCCCUGGUAUUCCGGGGGGCAUGCCUGUUCGAGCGUCAUUUCACCACUCAAGCCUCGCUUGGUAUUGGGCAACGCGGUCCGCCGCGUGCCUCAAAUCGACCGGCUGGGUCUUCUGUCCCCUAAGCGUUGUGGAAACUAUUCGCUAAAGGGUGCUCGGGAGGCUACGCCGUAAAACAAACCCAUUUCUAAGGUUGACCUCGGAUCAGGUAGGGAUACCCGCUGAACUUAAGCAUAUCA